rnacentral:rRNA from 1 species
AGUGAACGCUGGCGGUAGGCCUAACACAUGCAAGUCGAACGACGGCACAGUAAGAGCUUGCUCUUACGGGUGGCGAGUGGCGGACGGGUGAGGAAUACAUCGGAAUCUACUUUUUCGUGGGGGAUAACGUAGGGAAACUUACGCUAAUACCGCAUACGACCUACGGGUGAAAGCAGGGGAUCUUCGGACCUUGCGCGAUUGAAUGAGCCGAUGUCGGAUUAGCUAGUUGGCGGGGUAAAGGCCCACCAAGGCGACGAUCCGUAGCUGGUCUGAGAGGAUGAUCAGCCACACUGGAACUGAGACACGGUCCAGACUCCUACGGGAGGCAGCAGUGGGGAAUAUUGGACAAUGGGCGCAAGCCUGAUCCAGCCAUACCGCGUGGGUGAAGAAGGCCUUCGGGUUGUAAAGCCCUUUUGUUGGGAAAGAAAAGCAGCAGGUUAAUACCCCGCUGUUCUGACGGUACCCAAAGAAUAAGCACCGGCUAACUUCGUG